GUCCAGCCUGCCCAGUGACAUAGUUUAACGGCCGCGGUACCCUAACCGUGCGAAGGUAGCAUAAUCACUUGUUCUCUAAAUAGGGACUCGUAUCAAUGGCAUCACGAGGGCUGUACUGUCUCCUUUCUCCAAUCAGUGAAACUGAUCUCCCCGUGAAGAAGCGGGGAUUAACCUAUAAGACGAGAAGACCCCAUGGAGCUUUAAACCCAAUAUACACCCUCUACGCACUCAAAUCAAUAUAGCCCAAGAAGCUUGUGUAUCGGUUUUAGGUUGGGGAGACCGCGGAGUAAAAUUAAACCUCCACGACAGACGGACUAACACCCUUAUCCACGAACUACAAUUCUAAGAACCAAUAAAUUGUUGUCUAAUGACCCAAUUACUUGAUCAACGAACCAAGUUACCCUGGGGAUAACAGCGCAAUCUACUUCAAGAGCCCCUAUCGACAAGUAGGUUUACGACCUCGAUGUUGGAUCAGGGUAUCCUAGUGGUGCAGCCGCUACUAAAGGUUCGUUUGUUCAACGAUUAAAACCCUACGUGAUCUGAGUUUCCAAGAACCGGAAG
rnacentral:rRNA from 1 species